rnacentral:rRNA from 1 species
GGUAUUUUGACCGUGCAAAGGUAGCAUAAUCAUUAGUUUUUUAAUUGAAAGCUGGAAUGAAAGGUUGGAUGAAAAAUAAGCUGUCUCUAUUUAAAUUUAUUAGAAUUUUAUUUUUAAGUUAAAAAGCUUAAAUUUUAAUAGAAGACGAGAAGACCCUAUAGAGUUUUAUUUAUUUUAUAAAUAAAAAUAAUAGUAUUAAUUAUUUUUAUUUAUUAAAUAAAUUUAGUUGGGGUGAUUGAAAAAUUUAAUAAACUUUUUUUAUAUUUAUACAUUAAUUUAUGGUUACUUGAUCCUUAGUUUAAGAUUAAAAGAUAAAAUUACCUUAGGGAUAACAGCGUAAUUUUUUUUGAGAGUUCUAAUCGAAAAAAAAGAUUGCGACCUCGAUGUUGGAUUAAAAUAAAAUUUUGGUGUAGAAGCUAAAA